UCCCGGAAGUGCGCGCGGCCCCGCCCCCGCCGGUUCGCGUCUCUCUGCUGCGGCGCGGGGACCGCUGUGCUCUCGGGAAAGCCCUGAGAAACUACCAGAACGGGGUCCCUGGGGCCAGUGUUGGGAGCGUACGGUGAAGGGGCAGGGCUGCUGCGCCCGUGCGGAACUCCCCUGUGGAAGAUUAGCCCGUUUGGUGACUCGUCGGUUCUGGCCGCUUUGGGACCCUCUACUGUGCAGUCUGAACUUUCAGCAGGUGGAGGAGGGCAGAGAGAGAGCUGAGAUUGUUGGUCCAUGCCAGUGCGAGAGCCAGUACGGCCGGAAGCCAUGAUGGGACUUUCAGUUCCUUUCUUGGUGGAGGCCAGCACAGGGGAGAGGGGGUGCCCAUAGAUGCUAGAAGCUUAAAGGCUGCUGGGGGCUAGCGGCCUCAAGACAUAAGGUUUCCAGACAGGACGGGGCAGGUGGUGAUGCAGCUGUAGCUCGUGAGUCUGAGCGGGAAACAGCCCCCGCACAGUCGGUGUCGCUGUGAACGGAAAAGGGCCUUCCUUACACAGGAAACGGGGUCUCUGGGGGAUCCAGUGACGUGCCCGACCACAGAGACCA
rnacentral:sRNA from 1 species